UGGAAAUUCUCAGUCCACAGCGUGGGGUUGUAGAAAGCUAAGUUGCUCAUGUGUUAGGCCACACCAGCCCCAGGAACUGCUUCUGAAAGGCUGGAUAUGCUGGUAUGGAGUGAUGGCCAGUCCCCCACACCAGGCCCUGAAAUCAGGGUAGCUGGGCCUGCUGCUCAAGGUCCAACACAAACCCUCAAGAAACUGGGUGCUGGUCCCAGAUCUCCUUCUCAUCAUGGUCCAGAUGUGGACAACUGUCAUCUGCCCCUUCUGGAUUUAAGGCAGACUCUAAGGAUGUGUAAAAUGCAACAAGAUUGCUUAAAGAUCUAAGACAAGAAGAAAGAAAAUGGGGGAGAGCCUAAGAAAGAUGCCAGGAUUGAAGUACCAAGAUUUCUUGACAGCUGCCUCUAUCGUGUGAGCUUAUUUCCAGGCUACUGUAACUCAGACAUGUGGUUCACUGGGAUCCCAGCCUUAUGAGAAGUCUCCUGUUUGAUUCCUCACCUUGAUUGGGUCCUGAGCCUUUCAUCUCGUCUCACAUCCUAAGCCAUCAUCACAAUAAAAGCCCAAAG
ensembl:lncRNA